rnacentral:rRNA from 1 species
AGUGAACGCUGGCGGUAGGCCUAACACAUGCAAGUCGAACGGCAGCACAGUAAGAGCUUGCUCUUACGGGUGGCGAGUGGCGGACGGGUGAGGAAUACAUCGGAAUCUACUUUUUCGUGGGGGAUAACGUAGGGAAACUUACGCUAAUACCGCAUACGACCUACGGGUGAAAGCAGGGGAUCUUCGGACCUUGCGCGGUUGAAUGAGCCGAUGUCGGAUUAGCUAGUUGGCGGGGUAAAGGCCCACCAAGGCGACGAUCCGUAGCCGGUCUGAGAGGAUGAUCGGCCACACUGGAGUUGGGACACGGUCCAGACUCCUAAGGGAGGCAGCAGUGGGGAAUAUUGGGCAAUGGGCGCAAGCCUGAUCCAGCCAUACCGCGUGGGUGAAGAAGGCCUUCGGGUUGUAAAGCCCUUUUGUUGGGAAAGAAAAGCAGCAGGUUGAUACGCCGCUGUUCUGACGGUACCCAAAGAAUAAGCACCGGCUAACUUCGUG